UAGGGAAUCUUCCGCAAUGGGCGAAAGCCUGACGGAGCAACGCCGCGUGAGUGAUGAAGGUCUUCGGAUCGUAAAACUCUGUUAUUAGGGAAGAACAAAUGUGUAAGUAACUAUGCACGUCUUGACGGUACCUAAUCAGAAAGCCACGGCUAACUACGUGCCAGCAGCCGCGGUAAUACGUAGGUGGCAAGCGUUAUCCGGAAUUAUUGGGCGUAAAGCGCGCGUAGGCGGUUUUUUAAGUCUGGAGUGAAAGCCCCCGGCUCAACCGUGGAGGGUCAUUGGAAACUGGAAAACUUGAGUGCUGAAGAGGAAAGUGGAAUGCCAUGUGUAGCGGUGAAAUGCGCAGAGAUAUGGAGAAACACCAGUGGCGAAGGCGACUUUCUGGUCUGUAACUGACACUGAUGUGCGAAAGCGUGGGGAUCAAACAGG
rnacentral:rRNA from 1 species